AGCAGAGUGGCUUAGUGGAAAGAGAUCGGGCUUGGGACUCAGAGGUUGUGGGUUCUAAUCCUGUCUCUGUCA
rnacentral:tRNA from 1 species